GGCGCGCGGGGGGCGGGGGACCCGGCCGGAGAGCCCGGGAUGACCCCGGCCUGGAGGAGGGGGCUGAGACCCGGGGGCGAGGGCCCGGGGCGCGGCGAACCCUCCCGCCUCCCCGCUGGCCCGGGCCCCCUCCGGGUCCCCGCUACCGCCUGGGAGCACUGAACACACCUGGGCUCCCACGGGCCCUUUUUGUUCAUUUCUGGAAGGCUCUCCCAAGGCCACGGCGCACAGAUGGACCUGCUUGGGGUGGGGAUGCGGAUGGAGGGGACUCCACGGCCUGGCCCUCCUGGAGCCUAGAGGGCCGUGGGGCUUGGCCUCCUGGUUCCCAGAUGUUAGGCUGGGGAAAGGGGCUGGGCGCUAAAAACACCUCUGAGGAUGGGGAGCCGGCGGCAGGCAGCGCGGGGCCCUGGGCUUCCUGUUCCUCUUCUCCUGCCCCCAAAGGCGAUCUGGCACCUGAAUGCCAAGCCUCAUUAAAAAACACCCAUCUAAGACAUAACCACUUUUGGGAAAGAAGAAAAUUUAAAAGAUGGCAGGAAAAGCGGUCCCCACCCCCGCCCAAAAAAAGCCACUAGGUACUGAUCAUAAUUCUUUCUAGCCUUUGGUCAUUGGAUAGUAAAAAAGAAAGAUAAACACAUUAUAUUUAAGUGAAGCAGCCCGAAGAUAAGAACAAGAAGCAGGAUAAAGCUUCUAAUUCAAGACCAGUGAUAUUAUUGUUGGUUGUGCUUGCAUUUUAUUUAAGACUUAAUUUCUUUUUCUCCCUGGGUCACCUCCUUAAAAAAAAAAAAAAACUCACCUUUCCAGGAGUUCCCAUUGUGGCUCAGUGGCUAAGGAAUCCGAAUAGGAACAAUGAGGUUGCGGGUGCGAUCCCUGGCCUCGCCCAGUGAGUGGGGUAAGGAUCCAGCAUUGCUGUGAGCUGAGGUGUAGGUUGCAGAUGCGGCUUGCAUCCCGAGUUGCUGCGGCUCUGGCGCAGCUCCAAUUAGAUCCCUAGCCUGGGAACCUCCAUAUGCCGCUGGAACGGCCCAAGAAAUGGCAAAAAGACAAAAAACAAAACAAAACAAAAAACAAACCUCACCUUUCCAAAGCCACAGCUCAAAUGGGGUUUAAUCACAUCUUGACCUUAAUCUGAAUCCAGAUAGGAUUGCAGAAUAAUUGUUAAAUGUUGACAAGCUUUUCCCUACGGUAAGUUUGAAGUUUUACUGAUUUAUCACUUCAGGAGGAGGCUUUGAAAACUUUAUGCCCAAGAAAAUGGAAUAAAUGUGGGAUUCAUAUCCA
rnacentral:lncRNA from 1 species